rnacentral:tRNA from 3 species
GGAGAGUUACCGAAGUGGUCGUAACGGGAUCGACUCGAAAUCGAUUUAGGGGCCACAAGCUCCUACGGGGGUUCGAAUCCCCCACUCUCCGCCA